CCGCUAUUAAUUCCACUCUAUGAAGUAACUUCUUUACAAGAAAUUCAUAGUAAAGUUAUUUAUUCAGCUACAGGUAGCCAAGGGACCUCAAGCCCCUUCAUAGUGGCUAGCUUUUUCUCUUUUUCUUAAGCAAUAUAGAAGCAUGAUACAGAAUUUGUAGCUCAUUCAAUAUGGACGUGUAGCGCUGUGAUUAUCAUCAUAUCCCAUGUUGUACAAAACCAUUGAAGUUUCACAUGAUGUCUUAUCCUGUCCAUACAAAUAGUUAGUAUAAUUACUGUAUCACUUAUUAUAUGGUACUUGACCUCAAUGGCAACACAAUCUUUUCCACAAUUUUUAAUAAGAUCCUGUUGUCCUGUGAUCCUGUUUGUGGCAGCUUCGUGCAAUAUAUAGACCUGCAUCUAAAGUUUCACUCGCAACAAUUAGGGUUAUUUUUCACGGGUAAUAAUUUUGGAAUAAAUAUUAUUCAGGUGAUUAUUUUGCUUAUUUGCCCUUAUUAGGAGGCUUCAAUUUAUCCCUCGAUUUUUCCCACAAUGCCCAUUCUCUUCUUAUAUAAUCUCUAUGGUCAUUAGAAAAAUUGAAACAGAUUUCCAAUGAAUUUAACUUGAUCAGCAAGGUGGUCUGGGACAAUAUGAUUAAUUUUUUUAUUUUUAGUAUUAUGAACUUCGUUUAGGUUGCAUAUGAUAGAACAUCACUUGCUGACACCAAAAAUACAAACUUCAUAUGUGCUGUUUCCACCGUCCUCAGUCUUGGAGUUGUAGAUUUCUGUGCUGCAUCCUUUAUUGUUUGUUCAGCAACAUCCUUUGC